rnacentral:tmRNA from 1 species
GGGGGUGAUCGGUUUCGACAUUGGUCGGCAUUUCAGGGGAAGCGGGUCGAGGAUGCCUGGUUAUCUCGUUAACGCUCCCGGCAAACCAAUAGGUGCCAAUUCCAAGCGCACCGACUUCGCCCUCGCCGCCUGAGCGAGCCUCGAAGUCCGUCAGCCUGAGCUAGUUCUCGUCUCAGUGUCUGGCGUCAGCUAGAGAACUUGCUGCGCAGCCAUGUCGGGGGGCUGCGCGGGACUCCUACUCGACUGGGCCUGUCAGCGGACGUGUGCGUGCGAGCGCUGGGGCCGAGAAAAUCCGCAGCGCACUGCACCCGGAGAAGCCCUGGUUUCCCGUCAAUGGACGCGGGUUCAAUUCCCGCCACCUCCACCA